rnacentral:rRNA from 1 species
AACGAACGCUGGCGGCAGGCUUAACACAUGCAAGUCGAGCGCAUCCCUCGGGGUGAGCGGCGGACGGGUGAGUAACGCGUGGGAACGUGCCCUCUUCUACGGAAUAGCCUCGGGAAACUGAGAGUAAUGCCGUAUACGCCCGCAAGGGGAAAGAUUUAUCGGAGGAGGAUCGGCCCGCGUUGGAUUAGGUAGUUGGUGGGGUAACGGCCUACCAAGCCGACGAUCCAUAGCUGGUUUGAGAGGAUGAUCAGCCACACUGGGACUGAGACACGGCCCAGACUCCUACGGGAGGCAGCAGUGGGGAAUCUUGGACAAUGGGGGCAACCCUGAUCCAGCCAUGCCGCGUGAUCGAUGAAGGCCUUAGGGUUGUAAAGAUCUUUCAGCUGGGAAGAUAAUGACGGUACCAGCAGAAGAAGCCCCGGCUAACUCCGUG